AUUGAACGCUGGCGGCAUGCCUUACACAUGCAAGUCGAACGGCAGCACGGGGCAACCUGGUGGCGAGUGGCGAACGGGUGAGUAAUGCAUCGGAACGUACCUUUCAGUGGGGGAUAACGUAGCGAAAGUUACGCUAAUACCGCAUAUUCUGUGAGCAGGAAAGCAGGGGAUCGCAAGACCUUGCGCUGAUUGAGCGGCCGAUGUCAGAUUAGCUAGUUGGUGAGGUAAAGGCUCACCAAGGCGACGAUCUGUAGCGGGUCUGAGAGGAUGAUCCGCAACACUGGAACUGAGACACGGUCCAGACUCCUACGGGAGGCAGCAGUGGGGAAUUUUGGACAAUGGGGGCAACCCUGAGCCAGCCAUGCCGCGUGAGUGAAGAAGGCCUUCGGGUUGUAAAGCUCUUUCGGCCGGGAAGAAAUCGCACGGGCUAAUACCCUGUGUGGAUGACGGUACCGGAAUAAGAAGCACCGGCUAACUACGUGCCAGCCGCCGCCGUAAUAC
rnacentral:rRNA from 1 species